CUGCCAUCCUACUGAGGAAAAAGACAUCAUUCUAAUGUACUGUAAUAAAUUCUGAUCAUGAAAUCAGCCCAUUAGGAAGCACCUCUUGGAGAUCAUGGAUAACAUGCUAGGAAAAUGCAUCCUUUUUUAGUGGGCUUAUCAAAAAUAGUGAUGACGUACAUCUUGCCAAACCUAUUGCAACCUCCCCUUAGAUGUUAAUAUUAUUGCUGGAAGUUGGACUUUUCAUAGAACAUGUGAGAGAUUAGCAAGAACAUGUGAAAUGUUUUCAACUGGGAAGUCGGAUACAGAAGCAUCAUCCACAGUUUUUAUUGGGCCGAGUCAAAUAGGGGGCCUCUACCUGGUUGAAUUAUUAAGGGAUAAUUGAUCAUGUCUGUAACUUGCUCUCAAAUGGUUCAGCCAAAUGUCAGAAAUGUCAGAGAGACAGAGAGAAGGAGACAGGAGGAAGGGAGAGAGAAAGAGAAAAAGAGAAGAUAUAGUAAAGGUGGCAAAAUGAUGAAAAUUGGCAAAUGUACGUAAAGGCAUACAGAACUUCGAUGAACGAUUCUUGCAACCUUUAUAUAAUUCUGAAGGCUUUUAAAAAAAUGGCAAGCUUUCAAAUAAAAGCAAUUUAGGAAUUGUU
rnacentral:lncRNA from 1 species